GAUGAACGCUGGCUGCGUGCCUAAUACAUGCAAGUCGAGCGAACGGACGAGAAGCUUGCUUCUCUGAUGUUAGCGGCGGACGGGUGAGUAACACGUGGAUAACCUACCUAUAAGACUGGGAUAACUUCGGGAAACCGGAGCUAAUACCGGAUAAUAUUUUGAACCGCAUGGUUCAAAAGUGAAAGACGGUCUUGCUGUCACUUAUAGAUGGAUCCGCGCUGCAUUAGCUAGUUGGUAAGGUAACGGCUUACCAAGGCAACGAUGCAUAGCCGACCUGAGAGGGUGAUCGGCCACACUGGAACUGAGACACGGUCCAGACUCCUACGGGAGGCAGCAGUAGGGAAUCUUCCGCAAUGGGCGAAAGCCUGACGGAGCAACGCCGCGUGAGUGAUGAAGGUCUUCGGAUCGUAAAACUCUGUUAUUAGGGAAGAACAUAUGUGUAAGUAACUGUGCACAUCUUGACGGUACCUAAUCAGAAAGCCACGGCUAACUACCUGCCAGCAGCCGCGGUAAUACGUAGGUGGCAAGCGUUAUCCGGAAUUAUUGGGCGUAAAGCGCGCGUAGCGGUUUUUUAGUCUGAUGUGAAAGCCCACGGCUCACCCGUGGAGGGUCAUUGGAAACUGGAAAACUUGAGUGCAGAAGAGGAAAGUGGAAUUCCAUGUGUAGCGGUGAAAUGCGCAGAGAUAUGGAGGAACACCAGUGGCGAAGGCGACUUUCUGGUCUGUAACUGACGCUGAUGUGCGAAAGCGUGGGGAUCAAACAGGAUUAGAUACCCUGGUAGUCCACGCCGUAAACGAUGAGUGCUAAGUGUUAGGGGGUUUCCGCCCCUUAGUGCUGCAGCUAACGCAUUAAGCACUCCGCCUGGGGAGUACGACCGCAAGGUUGAAACUCAAAGGAAUUGACGGGGACCCGCACAAGCGGUGGAGCAUGUGGUUUAAUUCGAAGCAACGCGAAGAACCUUACCAAAUCUUGACAUCCUUUGACAACUCUAGAGAUAGAGCCUUCCCCUUCGGGGGACAAAGUGACAGGUGGUGCAUGGUUGUCGUCAGCUCGUGUCGUGAGAUGUUGGGUUAAGUCCCGCAACGAGCGCAACCCUUAAGCUUAGUUGCCAUCAUUAAGUUGGGCACUCUAAGUUGACUGCCGGUGACAAACCGGAGGAAGGUGGGGAUGACGUCAAAUCAUCAUGCCCCUUAUGAUUUGGGCUACACACGUGCUACAAUGGACAAUACAAAGGGCAGCGAAACCGCGAGGUCAAGCAAAUCCCAUAAAGUUGUUCUCAGUUCGGAUUGUAGUCUGCAACUCGACUACAUGAAGCUGGAAUCGCUAGUAAUCGUAGAUCAGCAUGCUACGGUGAAUACGUUCCCGGGUCU
rnacentral:rRNA from 1 species